rnacentral:snoRNA from 1 species
GCAGUGGUGAUGCAAACACAAACUCAGUCUCAUACUUCGCUGAGGCAAUAGCCGUUGCGGAGAAACCUUUCUCUCUGAGCUGC